GGCGACAUGGCCAAGUGGUAAGGCAGGGGACUACAAAUCUCCUUUUCCCAGUUCAAAUCUGGGUGUUGCCU